AAACAGACCUGGAAUUUGUUUUUUUAAAUAUUUAUUUAUUUUUAGUUUUCAGCAGACACAACAUCUUUGUUUGUAUGUGGUGCUGAGGAUCGAACCCGGGCCACACACAUGCCAGGCGAGCGMGCUACCACUUGAGCCACAUCUCCAGCCCCCAGACCUGGAAUUUAAAUGUUCUGUGAUGGAGAAAUAUAUGUUUACAAUAGGAAUUUAAGCAAUUACAAAUAAACAAAAGGAAGAAAAAGAAAACCAGCCUAACUAUAUGGUUUCCAAACGCCUCAUGUGAUGUCCAGAGUUCAGAGUUAUUCACCUCUGAAUACUCACUCAGCAAUGAAGAAAGUUAUGUGGUCAGCAGAAAUAACUAUCUUGACGUAGCAAUUCAGGGAACAUCUAUUUUAAAUCUGUCCCUUGGAAAUUUCACGAAUGAUUUAUCAAAGUCAUAUAUGAUCUAUAACUGUUUCCUUGAGAUAAAUUCUUAGGGGUAGAAUGGCAGGAUCAGAGAGUAUAAAAAGUGUGAGACUUGUAGGAAAGACGGUGGAAUGAGAUGGACAUCAUUACCCUAAGUACAUGUAUGAAGACACAAAUGGCGUGAUUCUACUUUGUGUACAACCAGAGAAAUGAAAAAUUGUGCUCUAUAUGUGUACUAUGAAUUGAAAUGCAUUCUGCUGUCAUGUAUAAUGAAUUAAAAUAAGUAAAUAAAUA
rnacentral:lncRNA from 1 species